CCCCUAUUGUGUUCCACUGGUCUAUGCCUAUUGUUGUGUCAUAAGAUGCUGUUUUGGUUUCUAUGGCUUUGUAGUAUAAUUUUAUAUUAGCUACUGUAAUUCCUCCAGCCUUACUCUUUCUGCUGAUCUUUUUCUCCCUUCCAAAGUCUUGAAUCAAUUUUUCUCAAAACCUUGUAUUACUAUAUGAACUAGAAAUGCCAUAUUUAACCCUCAAGAGAAUUUGCCUGCUUUUAGAUAUAGAAAGAACCACUAACUAAUAUUUCUGCAACCUUCCGGCCUCCAAGACAAAAUGACCAGGCAUGGACAUGUGGCCCAGAGCUCUGGAAUGCAUCCUUCCUCCGCUUUUUCAAGCCUGGUUCUCAUCAGUGCCUCAGUCCUGCUGUUCCCUACACUUGCCUUCAUGCCCCCCUGCUAUGCUGUGUGAUCAAUAAAUACCGACAAGUCUCGGCCAGGGAUCCAGCUCAGCGGUGCCACCACCGGCCUCCCAGGCCUCCCAAGUGCAACGUCCCAAGUUCGAUCCCCUACCAAAAAAAAAAAAAACUGACAAGUCUGGGGCUCAUGCUCUCAGCCUUGGAGGAGCUAAGAUCAGCCCCCCAACCCCAUUAAAGCAAUCCUUUCUCUUUGUCUUUUGUUUCACAGUACAUAAAGGAGGAAACAAAAAAGCAGUUCCUUCUGAAAGCAAAAUUCAUUAAGAACUGAGCAUUCUAG
rnacentral:lncRNA from 1 species